GUCCAUGGCCAUACCACCUGAACGUACCUGAUCUCAUCUGGUCCUGGAAGCUAAGUAGAUUGGGCCUGGUUGGUACUGGGAUGGGAGACACCCUGGGAAUACUGGGUGUUAUAGGCU
rnacentral:rRNA from 1 species